rnacentral:sRNA from 1 species
UGCCAGUGCACAAAAGUCCAAAAGCUGUUCGUACUUGUACGAUAAAGCUUUUGAAUUUGGUGCACGCCUAAAUAUGAGGAAGAAGCGAUUUGCGUAGCAAAUCUGCGCAUUCCGAAUAUUUACAGGAUUGCGGGAGCUGCCUGCUGCGGAGCAAUCCGGCGGC